GUGAGGAAUAUUGGUCAAUGGUCGCAAGACUGAACCAGCCAUGCCGCGUGCAGGAAGACGGUCCUAUGGAUUGUAAACUGCUUUUAUACAGGAAGAAACCCUCCCACGUGUGGGAGCUUGACGGUACUGUAGGAAUAAGGAUCGGCUAACUCCGUGCCAGCAGCCGCGGUAAUACGGAGGAUCCAAGCGUUAUCCGGAAUCAUUGGGUUUAAAGGGUCCGUAGGCGGUCUUAUAAGUCAGUGGUGAAAGCCCAUCGCUCAACGAUGGAACUGCCAUUGAUACUGUAGGACUUGAAUGCUUAGGAAGUAACUAGAAGAUGUAGUGUAGCGGUGAAAUGCUUAGAUAUUACAUGGAAUACCAAUUGCGAAGGCAGGUUACUACUAAGUGAUUGACGCUGAUGGACGAAAGCGUGGGGAGCGAACAGGAUUAGAUACCCUGGUAGUCC
rnacentral:rRNA from 1 species